rnacentral:tRNA from 1 species
GCGGGUGUGGCGGAACUGGCAGACGCACCAGAUUUAGGUUCUGGCGCCGAAAGGCGUGGGGGUUCAAGUCCCUUCACCCGCACCA